UAAAACACACAUACACACACACACACGGUUACUGCCUUUAAGACUAAUUGCCAUCCACUAACAUAGGUGUUAUUUGCAUAUUUUAGAUGAGAAAAAUGGAGUUCAGAGAAGUCAAAAACUAAUCCAAGAUGAUCCUACCAGCAGUACUUUCAGUUGAGUUUGAGCUCAGAACAGACUACCUCUAAACCUGGAGAUUUCUCAAUGAUACACAACCACUUUUUACAGUGCCCUGAAACUUAAUGGCAAGACUCAAGUCCAGCCAAACAUCAUUUGGAGAAGGACAAACAGAGCCACAGCUGUUUUUCUUUUUGUUUUUGUUUUUGUUUUGUUUUUUUAUGGCCCUUGAGCUAAGAACGCUUUGUUUUUUAUGUGUUUAAGGGGUUGUAAAAUAACAGCAAGAAUAACAACAAAAACCACAGAAAAUAAUAUGUAACAAACAUGUAAUUGAUCCUGCACGCAAAAAAUCUUUGCUAUCUGGCCCUUUAUAGGAAAAGCUUUCGGACCCCUGACUUGGUGUUACCCGAAGCAACCCACUCUUCUGUCGUUUUUUUUUUUUUUGUCGUUGUUAUUUGCCUAUUAAGGGAUUUUUGUGUAUUUUGUUUUUAUAACACAGCUUAUCGGCUUCAUAAAUAACCAGUGCCAUCAAUUAUUCCACCCACUGUUUCAUGAGUACAUAAAGGCCCUCUCAUAGCUUUCCUUGGGAAGGUGGCUUCACAUAUUCUAAUAAUUCCUGACGAGCAGACAGGCUGAUCAGAGGUAAAGUGGAUGAAAAAGGGAAGCCAUGCUGUUUGUUUAAAGCGCCAUCGCCUGCUAAUGGAAUUUCUCUUUCUCCAGUUAUUGAAACCUCCCCAUCGCUUGCCACUCCCAUCUCUGUCUUCUUAGGAAUGACCCGCGCAGGAAAAGGGAAACAAACAGCAGCUUCGCAGCCUCCCUGGGCCUGCCAGACACCCGAUUAUUUAAUUACGGUUUUCUAGCUUCAGCACUUCGCCCUUACCUUACACACUUUUUUUCCUCUGAAGAUGGAGGUGAAGGGAACACUUUCCAACUCAUUCUAGGAGCUGAACAUUACUCUUACCUCUUAGUGUAGGUAGACACUUCCACUGGAUAAGCAGAGUCCUUUCCUACAGGGUCUGAGAAGGCGACCGCAGUCAAUUCUUCCCUUCUGUCAGACAUAAUUCUUCAGUUUAGCCUUGUCAUUCCCUUCUGUCAGACAUAAUUCCUCAGUUUAGCCUUCCCACCUCUAUACAGUCUGAUAACAGACCAGCCUUUAUUAGUCAAAUCAGCCAAGCAUUUUUUCAGGCUCUUAGUAUUCAGUGACAGACUAAUGGUCUAUUAAAAACACACCUCACCAAGCUCAGCCACCAACUUAAAAAGGACUGGACAAUACUUUUACCACUUUCUCUUCUCAGAAUUCAGGCCUGUCCUCGGAAUGCUACAAGAUACAGCCCGUUUAAGCUCCUGUAUAGACACUCCUUUUUAUUAGGCCCCAGUCUCAUUCCAGACACCAGACCAACUUAGACUGUGCCCCCAAAAACUUGUCAUCCCUACUAUCUUCUGUCUAGUCAUACUCCUAUUCACCGUUCUCAACUACUCAUACAUGCCCUGCUCUUGUUUACACUGCCAGUUUAGGCUGUUUCUCCAAGCCAUCACAGCUGAUAUCUCCUGGUACUAUCCCCAAACCACC
rnacentral:lncRNA from 10 species